rnacentral:rRNA from 1 species
AUCCGGAGGAUCCGAGCGUUAUCCGGAUUCAUUGGGUUUAAAGGGUGCGCAGGCGGCCAUAUAAGUCAGCGGUUAAAUCGUGGGGCUCAACCCCACUCUGUCGUUGAUACUGGGUGGCUUGAUUGCGGUCGAGGUUGGCGGAAUUCGUUGUGUAGCGGUGAAAUGCAUAGAUAUGACGAAGAAUACCGAUUGCGUAGGCAGCUGACCAGGCCGCAAAUGACGCUCAUGCACGAAAGUGCGGGGAUCGAACAGGAUUAGAUACCCUGGUAGUCCGCACAGUAAACGAUGAAUACUUGUUUUCGGCGAUAUAAUGUCGGAGGCAAAGCGAAAGCGAUAAGUAUUCCACCUGGGGAGUACGCCGGCAACGGUGAAACUCAAAUGAAUUGACGGGG